GCUUGCUAUCUCUGGACUUUAAAUUAUGGUGACUCAAGUUAAUUACAUUCCAAUCACUCCAUUCCUCAAAAUUAUUUUCAUUAUGGGGCAAUCAUGACACAUUCCAGGACAAUUAUGACACUGGCUGACUGAGGUUAUGCUAGGUUAUGUCUGGGCUGGGGGUUAUAGUAGGUUAUGUCUGGGCUGGGAGUUAUAGUAGGUUAUGUCUGGGCUGGGAGUUAUAGUAGGUUAUGUCUGGGCUGGGGGUUAUAGUAGGUUAUGUCUGGGCUGGGGGUUAUGCUAGGUUAUGUCUGGGCUGGGGGUUAUGCUAGGUUAUGUCUGGGCUGGGGGUUAUGCUAGGUUAUGUCUGGGCUGGGGGUUAUGCUAGGUUAUGUCUGGGCUGGGGGUUAUGCUAGGUUAUGUCUGGGCUGGGGGUUAUGCUAGGUUAUGUCUGGGCUGGGGGUUAUGCUAGGUUAUGUCUGGGCUGGGGGUUAUGCUAGGUUAUGUCUGGGCUGGGGGUUAUGCUAGGUUAUGUCUGGGCUGGUGGUUAUGCUAGGUUAUGUCUGGGCUGGUGGUUAUGCUAGGUUAUGUCUGGGCUGGGGGUUAUGUCUGGGCUGGUGGUUAUGCUAGGUUAUGUCUGGGCUGGGGGUUAUGCUAGGUUAUGUCUGGGCUGGGGGUUAUACUAGGUUAUGUCUGGGCUGGGCUGGCAUAC